CACACCGCCCGUCACACCAUGGGAGUGGGUUCCACCAGAAGUAGUUAGCCUAACCGCAAGGAGGGCGACUGCCACGGUGAGAUUCAUGACUGGGGUG
rnacentral:rRNA from 1 species